rnacentral:rRNA from 1 species
GACGAACGCUGGCGGCGUGCCUAAUACAUGCAAGUAGAACGCUGAAGGAGGAGCUUGCUUCUCUGGAUGAGUUGCGAACGGGUGAGUAACGCGUAGGUAACCUGCCUGGUAGCGGGGGAUAACUAUUGGAAACGAUAGCUAAUACCGCAUAAGAGUAGAUGUUGCAUGACAUUUGCUUAAAAGGUGCACUUGCAUCACUACCAGAUGGACCUGCGUUGUAUUAGCUAGUUGGUGGGGUAACGGCUUACCAAGGCGACGAUACAUAGCCGACCUGAGAGGGUGAUCGGCCACACUGGGACUGAGACACGGCCCAGACUCCUACGGGAGGCAGCAGUAGGGAAUCUUCGGCAAUGGACGGAAGUCUGACCGAGCAACGCCGCGUGAGUGAAGAAGGUUUUCGGAUCGUAAAGCUCCGUUGUAAGAGAAGAACGAGUGUGAGAGUGGAAAGUUCACACUGUGACGGUAUCUUACCAGAAAGGGACGGCUAACUACGUG